CGGGGCGGCCACGCCUGGGAGCAUCAUGGCGGCCUCCCCGGUGCGCUCUUGCCGCCGCCUGUUGGGACUGCGCUCCAGGGCUGCUGACUCCGGUGGGAGUGGCUGCCCCGCGGGUUUCAGCGGAUUCGGUAGAGACGAUUUGUUCGUUGCUGCUUACUGCCUCGUCCAACACCGGCGAACGAAUGUGUGGGGCCAAGAUGAGAAAGUACGAGGAAAGGAAGGCCGGGUCUUGGUAUCCCGCCUUCCUGACCGAAGAGCCUGUUUCCCUCCUUGGGUUGACUUUGAUUUGCUCUGUAGUGAAUUUCCUUUAUCAAGAGCUUCAUUUUGAAAUGGAUCUAACCUUGAGUACCUCCUCAUCACUUUCCUAUAUUAGUCAGUCUGACUUCAGAGAGGCACAUUUACAGGAGGUAAGAAGAAUCCCAAAGCUGCGGAAGCCUAUCUGGAAGAAAUCUUCAGUCCAAGUCUUUGGACCAAGAAGCAAGUCUGGGUAUGUUGGAUGUUUGUGAACGUUUAUAUUUGCAUGUUCAUGACCCUCAUGGUUGCAAUAGGGAGGAGUGGUAGAAAAAAGGAGUUUUAUUUUAUCUUUUAGUCUAUUGUUAUGUCUCCUGAAUACAUCAGCAGAGUUUAAAAGUUAUUUUUACAUACACCAAAGGUUGAAGUCCGCUGUAUCAAAGUACCAUCUAAGAUUCUGACUUGGGGAAGUAGUGUGCUACCAUCCCUCUACUGUCCAGUAGCACCAGCAGCUUGACAUCAAUAUCAGAAUCUUCUAUCCUCUUUGGUGACCUCAGAAGUUCAUGAAUAUAAAUAUAGUGGUGUUUUCUUCUGAAAACAGAAGAUUUUUUCCCCCGUUUCUGAGAUUUCUAUGAGGUUAUCCGGUUUAUAAGGGAAAAUGCGGUCUGCUUAUGAAAAUGCUCAUAGUCAAUUUAGUUCACAAAUAUGGCAUUUUCUUUAAAGAAGAAGAAACAUGGGACACCUGGGUGGCUCAGUAGUUUAGCGUUUGCCUUUGGUUCAGGCUGCAAUCUUGAGGUCCUGGGAUCAAGUCCCACAUCGGGCUCCCUGUGGGGAGCCUGCUUCUUCCUCUGCCUGCUUCUGCCUCUCUCUCUGUGUGU
rnacentral:lncRNA from 1 species